CCGAGUUUUGGGACCCUUUGGGUACCAGCUCCCACCAUCUGUGAACCUUUUUCGUUGCCUCGGCGGGUCCGAUGUACCCAUCCUCUGGCUUUUGCUGGGGAGUAUCCGCCGAUGGAUUUUCAAACCAGACUUUAACCUACAAUCUGAGUUAAACAAAAUAAAAACA
rnacentral:misc_RNA from 1 species